GUGAACCCAAUCUCUAAUAACAUACCAGACUGAUUAUGGCAGGAGAACUUAUAUCGAUGCCAAAUACUGAUGAUUGGGGUUGUAUAGAAUGGAUUUGUUGUAUAUUCCUAGGAGUCCUGUUGUUGCCAUUCUUUUUGGUUCUCUUUAUUAUCAUAUGUUGUGCGUCGAUGUGUACAAACAAUGCCGUUGGUGAUGGUUAAGAAUUUCUAAGAACGUCACAAUGAUAAAGAAUCAGAAGAAGCUGUGAUAUUUUUCGUCUGUGAUAAACCAACUUGUUUUUCCAUUCUAUAUAGAAUAUAAUAAUAGAGUAUAAUAAUGAAAUGUCUGUCUUCCUAUGUAGUGUGUUAAAAAUGUGAUUUGUUUUUUCCUCCUACAAUAACCUAGCACUUAUGAAUUUUUGUGACUUCAUACGCACAUACACGCAAGUAUGCAUAUGGAAUAAAACCACUAAUUCAUAGCCCCAUUGCUUUCUAUGUUAAAUUCUGCAAUUUCAAACAUUAAUGGCUACUUUGUCUUAAGUUAAAAUAAAUAGGCAGUCAUUUGAUGUCAAAACUAGACCUUAUCCGGACUUGUGCUGAAAAAUUCAACAUACCUUUAAUUACAUAUUAGAGCGCACUGGUUCCCGGAAUUUUGUUAGUACAAAAACUGGAGCUUCUAAUCUGAACAAUAGGGCAAAUGUACCCUCCUAUUAUAAUUUCAUGUAUUUUGUUUAUCAUAAAAAAUAAACUUUCGACAAGGGUUCUACAGUGGACCCAAGUCAUUAAGCUUUCAUUUGAUACCAGAAUUAUCCAAAUAUUUUACUUAUUGACAAAGUUACAGCUAUGCGUAAGAACUAUUUUGUUUAAAAAUACAUACUACUUUCUGGUAUGUUCUCUCUGACCGGGCCCUGAUUAGUGGUUCUAUACAAUUAGCAUAAAUGUAAUACUGCAAAAAUUGUACUUUCAAUCAUGUUUUGUUCAGAAAUUUAAGAAAAUUAAGAAUGUUAUUUUCAUUAUACAAUGUAACACCUGGAAA